ACUCUCUGAAAGUUUACAGUGAAACUUCGAUGUCAAUUUUUUAAUUGGCAGUGUGCGUCAAUACAGGGAGCGCCGUAAGUGGCUGAUCCGUUGGCGGUCUCAUCUUGUCCUCCCCUGUAACGACAAUGUGAGGAACUUGCACGGCUGCAGUUUUUGAGACCCCAAGAUGCAGGAACGAACAGACGAACAG